GGCCUACGGGAGGCAGCAGUGGGGAAUAUUGCACAAUGGGGGAAACCCUGAUGCAGCGACGCCGCGUGAGGGAAGAAGGUUUUCGGAUUGUAAACCUCUGUCCUUGGUGACGAAAGAAGACGGUAGCCAAGGAGGAAGCCACGGCUAACUACGUGCCAGCAGCCGCGGUAAUACGUAGGUGGCAAGCGUUGUCCGGAAUUACUGGGUGUAAAGGGAGCGUAGGCGGGAGGAUAAGUUGGACGUAUAAACUAUCGGCUCAACCGGGAGAGGCGUUCAAAACUGUCCUUCUUGAGUGCAGUAGAGGG
rnacentral:rRNA from 1 species